ACACUUACUAGGUAGAAGAGGCACCAUGAUCAGGCAGAUGGUUUUCCCAGGGCUAGGUUCAUCCCCUGCACUGUAGGUGUUCUGACUCCUUAAUGACUCAAUGCCAUUAGAGUACAUUGUGCACCAGUGCUCAUUAAAGACUUAUAAUCCUGUGAUUUUGAU